rnacentral:tRNA from 1 species
CGGGUUGUGGCUCAAGUGGUAGAGCACUCGCCUGGCAUGCAUGAGGCACUGGGUUCGAUCCUCAGCACCACAU